AUUGAACGCUGGCGGAAUGCUUUACACAUGCAAGUCGAACGGCAGCACGGACUUCGGUCUGGUGGCGAGUGGCGAACGGGUGAGUAAUGUAUCGGAACGUGCCCAGUCGUGGGGGAUAACGUAGUGAAAAUUACGCUAAUACCGCAUACGAUCUAUGGAUGAAAGCGGGGGAUCGCAAGACCUCGCGCGAUUGGAGCGGCCGAUAUCAGAUUAGGUAGUUGGUGGGGUAAAGGCCCACCAAGCCAACGAUCUGUAGCUGGUCUGAGAGGACGACCAGCCACACUGGAACUGAGACACGAGCCAGACUCCUACGGGAGGCAGCAGUGGGGAAUUUUGGACAAUGGGCGAAAGCCUGAUCCAGCCAUUCCGCGUGCAGGAUGAAGGCCCUCGGGUUGUAAACUGCUUUUGUACAGAACGAAAAGGUUUCUACUAAUACUAGGAGCUCAUGACGGUACUGUAAGAAUAUGCACCGGCUAACUACGUGCCAGCCGCCGCCGUAA
rnacentral:rRNA from 1 species